UACGUAGGGGGCAAGCGUUGUCCGGAAUCAUUGGGCGUAAAGCGCGCGUAGGCGGCCCGGUAAGUCCGUUGUGAAAGUCAAAGGCUCAACCUUUGAAUGCCGACGGAUACUGCCGGGCUAGAGUACGGAAGAGGCGAGUGGAAUUCCUGGUGUAGCGGUGGAAUGCGCAGAUAUCAGGAGGAACACCUAUAGCGAAGGCAGCUCGCUGGGACGUUACUGACGCUGAGGCGCGAAAGCGUGGGGAGCGAACAGG
rnacentral:rRNA from 1 species